GUUCUCUCAGGAUUGCACCUGGAGAGUUUCCAGUGCUCUUCCAGUCUCAACUACAGGAGGCAGAGUCAAGCAGAGGCAUAUCCAUUCCAUACCUAGCUUGGCCAGUGGCUAGCCAGUGGAAGGCAGUCUGCUACAAGG
rnacentral:snoRNA from 1 species